rnacentral:rRNA from 1 species
GUCUGUAAUCUCAUCUCUGCAAACAAAUAUUUUUUAAAAAUAAAAAAGCCAUAAGUGGGGUCGGGCCUGAUUAAUACUUGGAUGGGAGACCACCUAGGAAUAUCAGGUGCUGUAGGCA